rnacentral:lncRNA from 1 species
UUUCACGCCGUAAAUACAGUUGAAUACAAUAAUUUGUUCAGCUGUAAUCCCAUGUUUCAUUUCAUGAAUACAGUCGAAUACACUCGAAUACAACAACUGAUUGUGAACGUUACUAUGUUAAAACACAAAAUCAGAAAACUGUUAGAAGAAUAAAAAUCUAAAAAACAGUAAAGAUUAAGAAAUAUUCCGAGUCCACAAAUUUCUUGUGCGUCUUUAAGGAAUUUUAACCCCCUCACACGUUGCUAAGGUAAUGGAAUUAGUCCUCCCAGGAUGAAACGGAAUAAACCUUCCUGCAACAGUAGCAAUACAAACUGCAGGAUAUCAACAAACUCAAAGAACGGAGCAAAAUCACACUUACGAAUUUGAGAGAGAGAGACUGCGAAUUAGAAUGUAGUAUUUACAGAUAGAAGGAAGUUCUAUAAUUUUUUAGUGCUUAAAAACGAAGCCAUGCCUCAGAAUUUAUAGGAAAUUACUGGAAGAGGUGUGAUGUUUGUUUUGGAAAAGGGGUAUGUUCAGAAGUUUACGCGUUAAAUAAUUAACUAAAUAAAGUUUAUCCAAAAUAAUCGAGCGACGAUGGCGGUGCGAAGGUUCAUUCUCUUCAACAAGAAGUAAUUCUAUAUAUACACACAAUAAUGUAGUUGUCCCUCACCAAUGAGGGACAAAGUUCAAGACAAAAGCUCACUUCAUUCAAAUUUUUCAUUUUCCUCCAUUUUAUUUCCUACCAUUUCCAAUUCACACUCUUAGAUUUUAAAGCCCAAUGCUUAAAGUCUUUGAAGCCCAAUGCUUCCCAGUGCUUUAAAGUCCAACAUUGAUUAGCUGGACUUUCCUGAUUCACGUCUAUUUUUGAUACUGUAUUCAUGAAUACAAUAGCUUAAAUACAUAAAAUAUUCUUAUAACCACAUAAAAAGUAUCUAUAAUCCGUAAUAUAAUAAAUAAUAUCCAUAGAUAACUAAUUACUACUAAAAGAUAGUGCUUUAUCAAAAUUUCAAAAAAAAAAAAUUAUUCUCUGAGGAGACACUUUCCAACUUUUCGAUGAUCCUUUGUAUGGUUUCAGCAGUUUCUGGUCUAAUUGAGUUUUGACGUAAUUGGAAAUUAGUACUCUUUUAUGUGAUGAAAAUGGCUGAAUAUAGGUAAUUCUUAAUUAAUUUUUUUCAUGAAUAGGGAGAGCUUAUCAUGCCCCGCUUAAAUCUAUUUUCUUUUGGCAUUAAUUUGAUUUGUCAACAUAAUUCUUCGCAAGAAAGAAAAGAUUUUGAGAGAGACGUUCAGAAGACCUCUAAUCAAUGUUUGCAAAGUAAAUAAAAACGAGUCCCUCAUAUAUAAGGAAAAAGGUAAAACUUACAUAUAUAUAUAUAUAUAUAUAUAUAUAUAUAUAUAUAUAUAUAUAUAUAUAUAUCUUUUUCUCUUCGGAAAAGAAGUUAAUUGUGUAAUUAAUUUAAUUAUUAAUAAAAGCUAUGUGUUUGCCGAUUCAUUAGUAGUGCUCAAAUCCAACACAUGUGUUGAGAAAUCUACUACUACUACUACUACUAUAUAUAUAUAUAUAUAUAUGCAAAUCAUUUGUUCUAAAUUUGUAUUUUACAACUCCAAGUACUUGAUUUUGUGAUUUUGUCUAAGCAAAGGUACAUGUUCAAAUUUACAGUAUUGAUCAUGAGAUGUUGAUUAAUUUGCGAAACUCUAACACUCAUAUACAUAAGUGAAAUUUUCAUCUGACUAGUUACAUAAAAAAAUAAUUAAUUGACAGUAAUAGAGUUCUGAUUCUGAGCAUCAGAAAGGUAAUAUCCAAGAUAUCAAUUUAACAUUUUGCUUUGUAAUUAAUAAAGUAGUUUAUUGUAGACAUCUAAAGACUAAUUAUAAGUUAAUAUAGAAGUAUUGUAAUUAUUUCAAACCUAAAGGCGUAUAUUUCGUUGGAACUUCAUGAACAUUUUUUAUUAGUAGACUAAUCAACGUCCCCUAAAUUUUUAUUUUUGAGGGAAAAAACGGAUGCAAACGUUUCUGUACAAAAUGCCAAAAGCUUAUCUCCCUUUCAAAGGAAUUUCUUGGGACCCAAUUAAGAUUGUGUCAUCGUGACUCAGGUAUCUCUUCAUCUCAUUUCUUAAUCAUGAAUACACUUACCUAAAUUACGAUGUGCCAUCACAAAUGAGAUAUCAGUAUAUCACCCCAAAUGGGAGUGACUGUAACAAAACUAAAGCAAGAAAAGAAGGGAGAACAACGAGAUAUUUGAAUAUAUUGAACAAAUACACUUACCUAAAUUAACAAAAAGAAAGAAAUAAGAAUAGCUUUUAACUUCGUAUCGGCUCUCUUCUCUGUUCUAGGUCCUUUUUUCACUGAGGACCAUGGGCCAAUAACUUUAAGAAAAAAGUUAAAACUUGGUAAGAGUUAGGCAAGUUUCGCCAUGACCCACUAUUUAGCCCACUUAACUCAACCUAUUUCAGCCCAAGUAAUUUGUAGAUGGAUUUCACCAAACUCGGCCCAGCGACCUCAUUUUACAUCCUUAGUUGUAACUAACCCAAUAAACGGUCUUACAACUAGCUUGAUACGCUGAACAUGGUUAAAAUAAAGGUGCUAGCAAUAUCGAAAAUGUUUCGGCUGCUUCUAUUUUCAUUGUUUAGACAUAACAAACUAACUGCAGGCAGUUUCUAUAAUUGAUGAAAAAGCGAGUAAGUAAAAUGUAAGUGCCAUGAAUGCAUUUCUCUACAACAAUGAAUACAUCAACAAAUAAAUAAAGAAUGAGAAGUCAACUUACAAUAAAUGUGAAGUUAUGCUUGGCUUAAUUCUUUCCUCUAUAUGAUCACAGGAUUCUCAGUAGAAACAAUCCUUCAGUCAGCCCAGACGAUUAAUAACAGAGAAAGAAAAGUAGUUGAGAUAAUAAAUAAACAGUAGUAACUAGCAAGAAGUUCAAGAAGCAGCUAGAAGGCUUGUUAAUUUAUACCAUCACGUUAAGAAGCAAGACCACCAUAAAUUCCAAACAUAA